rnacentral:rRNA from 1 species
GUAGUCAUAUGCUUGUCUCAAAGAUUAAGCCAUGCAUGUCUAAGUAUAAGCAAUUAUACCGUGAAACUGCGAAUGGCUCAUUAAAUCAGUUAUCGUUUAUUUGAUAGUACCUUACUACUUGGAUAACCGUGGUAAUUCUAGAGCUAAUACAUGCUGAAAACCCCAACUUCGGAAGGGGUGUAUUUAUUAGAUAAAAAACCAAUGCCCUUCGGGGCUCCUUGGUGAUUCAUAAUAACUUCUCAGAUCGCAUGGCCUCGCGCCGGCGACGGUUCAUUCAAAUUUCUGCCCUAUCAACUUUCGAUGGUAAGGUAUUGGCUUACCAUGGUUUCAACGGGUAACGGGGAAUUAGGGUUCGAUUCCGGAGAGGGAGCCUGAGAAACGGCUACCACAUCCAAGGAAGGCAGCAGGCGCGCAAAUUACCCAAUCCCGACACGGGGAGGUAGUGACAAUAAAUACUGAUACAGGGCUCUUUUGGGUCUUGUAAUUGGAAUGAGUACAAUUUAAACCUCUUAACGAGGAACAAUUGGAGGGCAAGUCUGGUGCCAGCAGCC